rnacentral:rRNA from 1 species
CGAGGACGAACGCUGGCGGCGUGCUUCAUACAUGCAAGUCGAACGAUAAGGUCUCUUCGGAGAUACAUAAGUGGCGGACGGGUGAGUAAUAUGUAGAGAAUCUGCCCUAGAGUGAGGGACAACAGAGGGAAACUUCUGCUAAUACCUCAUAUGCGCGUAGCUGAGAUGCUAUUCGUGAAAACUCCGGUGCUCUAGGAUGAGUCUGCAUCUGAUUAGCUAGUUGGGGGUGUAAUGGACCACCAAGGCGACGAUCAGUAGCUGGUUUGAGAGGAUGAUCAGCCACAAUGGGACUGAGACACGGUCCAUACUCCUACGGGAGGCAGCAGUAGGGAAUUUUGCGCAAUGGGGGAAACCCUGACGCAAGCAACGCCGCGUGAUUGAAUAAGCCCUUCGGGGUGUAAAGAUCUGUCAGUGGGGACGAAACUUGACGGUACCCACAGAGGAAGCAUCGGCUAACUCCGUGCCAGCAGCGGC